GAUGAAGAACGUAGCAAAUGCGAUAAGUAAUGUGAAUUGCAGAAUUCAGUGAAUCAUCGAAUCUUUGAACGCACAUUGCGCCCGCCAGUAUUCUGGCGGGCAUGCCUGUUCGAGCGUCAUUUCAACCCUCAAGCCCCCGGGCUUGGUGUUGGGGAUCGGCGUGCCCUCGCGGCGCGCCGUCCCCUAAAUCUAGUGGCGGUCUCGCUGUAGCUUCCUCUGCGUAGUAGCAACACUCGCACUGGAUCGCAGCGCGGCCACGCCGUUAAACCCCCCACUUCUGAAAGUUUGACCUCGGAUCAGGUAGGAAUACCCGCUGAACUUAAGCAUAUCAAUAAGCGGAGGA
rnacentral:misc_RNA from 1 species